UAAUCUCUGCGUUUCCAGGGAGAAUGGCUUUAGAGACUAACGCAAUCGCCGGCGUUCUUUCGCUUUCAUUACGUCGCCGCCGACUUAAUUCUCUACCUAUGACCGUUUCCUCUCCACGAAUGAUUGGAGGAGGAUUUAUAGUACAGGCCUCUAUAAAGAGAAACCCUAAACGCCUCAAGUAUUCACUACCUCGUUUUACCAAGGAGAAUGGGUUGCUAUACAUUGAAGUUGAUCCAUCAGGAUCAGAUAGUUGGAGAUUGGAUCCAGUUAUUGAGCUUCUACAAAAGGGAGCUGUUGGUGUCAUUCCUACUGAUACAGUAUAUGCAAUGGCUUGUGAUUUGAGAAACGCCUCGGCUAUUGAACGUCUCCGCAGGAUAAAGAGAAUAGAACCUUCAAAGCCGUUGAGCAUUUUGUGUCAUUCCUUCCGAGAUAUAGACACUUACACUACAGGAUUUCCUCGUGGUAAUGGAGACGGUUUCAUAAACAUAUUUCGGGCUGUGAAACAUUGCUUACCUGGACCUUACACCUUCAUCUUAACUGCAAGUAAAGAACUACCAAAACAGUGUACUAGGUAUGGUUCUGCUUCCAGGUAUGCACACAGGAAAAAUGUAGGCAUUCGCAUGCCUGAUGAUCCUAUUUGUCAAGCUAUACUAGAGAAGAUAGAUACAUCAUUGAUAUCCACAAGUGUGAAGUCCCCAAAUCAAGAUGAGUGGAUAUUAGAUCCAGUUAUAAUAGCUGAUGUAUAUGGGAAAGAGGGACUUGAUUUUGUUGUUGAUGCUGGUAUGCGAUUGACUGAUCCAUCUACAGUUGUUGAUAUGACAGGGAGUUUCCCAAAAAUUAUUAGGCAAGGAAAGGGGCCUAAACAACCAUGGAUGGAAGCAGAAGAUGAUGAAUAUACUGUAGAAAACGAAAAUGGUGAUAUUAUCUCAUCUACUGCAUAGAAGGCAAUGGAACUGUAUAUACAUCAACAGACCUGGGGAAAUAUUACAGGAUGAGAAAGGUCAUGUUUGACAUGGACGAUGAUACAUACCUGCAUGUGCACAGGAUAAAUUGCUUGUUCUUUUGGCUCCAGUUCUUCUGCUAUGAAUUCAACAUGGCAGAUCCUGCAUGCUUUACAAGUGAAUUCAAGCAAUCUUGUGCCUAGCCACUACACCAAUAAUGGAAAUUCAUUCAGUAAUGGGUAUUAAACUGUUUGAAUUUUGUUAAGAAGAUGAUUGAAAUGUAGUUCUUGAUUAUGUUGAAUGUAUAAUGAUCAAAAACA